AAUGACUCGACCAGGCGCGCAGAAACGACAUGAAAAACAAAUUUCUAAUGUUUCUACACGAAGAAGGUAUAAUUUCAGUUUUACAAACGAGUGGAAUCAUUGCGCACAUUUUAGGGCACCGACUGACUGACGUGCAAAUCCAACAUGACGGAUUCACAAUAUGAUGUCCAUGUGGGCGUCACGCUGUCUGCACUCAGUGGCUCAGACCAGGUGGGUCAGUUCUCAGCCAACGUCUUGUAAUGGCCUUCUUAGCCGCAAGAGAAAGGAUCUUAAACAGGUCUUGUCUAGCAUUCCUGGUCUGACCCUGGAGGUAUAAGAAGGCCAAAUCAACAGACCGACCUGUGGCCCUUUGGUGCAUGUCAUUCCCCUGCUCGAUGGUGUUUUAAGCCCCCAAC